ACACAUGCAAGUUCGAACGAUGAAUCUUCCAGCUUGCUGGGGGGAUUCGUGGCGAACGGGUGAGUAACACGUGAGUAACCUGCCCUUCGACUCUGGGAUAAGCCUGGGAAACUGGGUCUAAUACUGGAUACGACCUUCCCACGCAUGUGGUGUUGGUGGAAAGCUUUUGUGGUUUUGGAUGGACUCGCGGCCUAUCAGCUUGUUGGUGGGGUAACGGCCCACCAAGGCGACGAUCCGUAGCGGGUCUGAGAGGAUGAUCCGCCACACUGGCACUGAGACACGGGCCAGACUCCUACGGGAGGCAGCAGUGGGGAAUAUUGCACAAUGGGCGCAAGCCUGAUGCAGCCAUGCCGCGUGUGUGGAGAAGGCUCUAGGGUUGUAAAGCACUUUCAGUGGGGAGGAAAAGUUAGUCGUUAAUACCGGCUAGCCCUGACGUUACCCACAGAAGAAGCACCGGCUAACUCCGUGCCAGCAGCCGCGGUAAUACGGAGGGUGCAAGCGUUAAUCGGAAUUACUGGGCGUAAAGCGCGCGUAGGCGGCUUACUAAGCCAGAUGUGAAAGCCCCGGGCUCAACCUGGGAACUGCAUUUGGAACUGGUUCGCUAGAGUACAGUAGAGGGUGGUGGAAUUUCCAGUGUAGCGGUGAAAUGCGCAGAUAUCAGGAGGAACACCGGUGGCGAAGGCGGGUCUCUGGGCAACAACUGACGCUGAGGAGCGAAAGCGUGGGGAGCGAACAGGAUUAGAUACCCUGG
rnacentral:rRNA from 1 species